ACGCUGGCGGCGUGCCUAACACAUGCAAGUCGAGCGGGAAGCUUCGGAUUUGAGACUUCGGUUGAUUUCUGAAGUGGAGAGCGGCGGACGGGUGAGUAACACGUGGGCAACCUGCCUCAUAGAGGGGAAUAGCCUCCCGAAAGGGAGAUUAAUACCGCAUAAGAUUGUAGCUUCGCAUGAAGUAGCAAUUAAAGGAGCAAUCCGCUAUGAGAUGGGCCCGCGGCGCAUUAGCUAGUUGGUGAGGUAACGGCUCACCAAGGCGACGAUGCGUAGCCGACCUGAGAGGGUGAUCGGCCACAUUGGGACUGAGACACGGCCCAGACUCCUACGGGAGGCAGCAGUGGGGAAUAUUGCACAAUGGGGGAAACCCUGAUGCAGCAACGCCGCGUGAGUGAUGACGGCCUUCGGGUUGUAAAGCUCUGUCUUCAGGGACGAUAAUGACGGUACCUGAGGAGGAAGCCACGGCUAACUACGUG
rnacentral:rRNA from 1 species